rnacentral:rRNA from 1 species
CCUACGGGAGGCAGCAGUGAGGAAUAUUGGUCAAUGGGCGCGAGCCUGAACCAGCCAAGUCGCGUGAGGGAAGACGGUCCUAUGGAUUGUAAACCUCUUUUGUCGGGGAGCAAAAGACGCCACGCGUGGCGUUCCGAGAGUCCCCGCAGAAAAAGCAUCGGCUAACUCCGUGCCAGCAGCCGCGGUAAUACGGAGGAUGCGAGCGUUAUCCGGAUUUAGUGGGUUUAAAGGGUGCGCAGGCGGAAGAUCAGGUCAGCGGUAAAAUUGAGAGGCUCAACCUCUUCGAGCCGUUGAAACUGGUUUUCUUGAGUGAGCGAGAAGGAUGCGGAAGGCGUGGUGUAGCGGUGAAAUGCAUAGAUAUCACGCAGAACUCCGAGUGCGAAGGCAGCAUACCGGCGCUCAACUGACGCUCAUGCACGAAAGUGUGGGUAGCGAACAGGAUUAGAUACCCUGGUAGUC